rnacentral:lncRNA from 1 species
GUUGCCCAAAGCCACCCAGCUAGUAAGUGAUGUGGAGACUCAUCCAACUCAUGUAAAGUCUGUGAUCUUCACCACAGCAUCUGUGUUCCUGUCAUUUUCUGGGACGGUGCUCCUCUUUUCGGAGUCCUCCACCAACUCACCUGUGGUUUGAAUUGGUUGGAAUAAAAUCCUAUUCAUGAAUAGGACUUUAACUGAAUAGUAAUGGCCACUUGCUUGUUUUCCAUGGCCUGGUACAUAGCAGAGGACUGUCCGUGUCUGUGAGAACCAGAGGACCUUCGGGAGAGAAAUCAGCCACUGCUACACCCCAGCCCAGUAGGAGGGAGCCAGGCUGCUGACAAAGGGACCUCACGCUCCUCCCUCACAUUGCCUGGACCAGCUGGCAGCCCGCUGGGAUGGCUUCAGGCAGCCUCCCCAGCAAGGAGGAGAGGGAUGGAGGGCUGGCUGGAGGAGCACAUGGGGAGCACUCCUCAAAUGCUUCCUAGAGGUCAUGCAGCCAGUGCCAGAACCAGUUCCUAUUAACCCAGAGGAAGAGACUUGUGGCAGUGGGGACAGCGUCACUUUGUCUUUCAGGUCACUCUGCUGCAGGGUCCUCACUCCAGCUUUCUCACCAAUCCUCCCCCUACACCAAAAGAUCAUCUCUGGGUUCAGGCAAUUCUCCUGCCUCAGCCUCCCGAGUAGCUGGGAUUACAGGCACGCGCUACCAUGCCCAGCUAAUUUUUUGUAUUUUUAGUAGAGACAGGGUUUCACCAUGUUGACCAGGAUGGUCUCGAUCUCUUGACCUUGUGAUCCGCCUGCCUCGGGCUCCCAAAGUGCUGGGAUUAUAGUCGUGAGCCACAGCGCCCGGCCUAAUUUUUGUAUUUUUAAUAGAGGUGGGGUUUUACCAUGUUGGCCAGGCUGGUCUGGAACUCCUGACCUCAAGUGAUCCACCCACCUUGGCCUCCCAAAGUGCUGAGAUUAUAGUGUGAGCCACCUCGCCCAGCCUGAACUUGCUAUUUAUUCCUGUCUUUAUUAUCCCUAUUUAUUAUAUUUGUCUUUAUUUGCACUAGGAUGCAAACUUGAGCGUCUCUGCCUUACAAUUGUUUUCUGAGCACCUAGCGCAGUGCCUGGCCCUCAGCAAGCCCACAGUAAGCUGUGGAAUGAAUGAGUUAUCAGUCGACACCAUCCUGCUUCUAGGUGCUUCUCCUGUGUCAGAGCAUCUCACCAAAAUGAAAACAAUGACGCACAGGGUCACCAUUCAGCCCCACCCACCAGCUCAAGGAUAAUAUCACAAGCUCAGAACCCAAAUGCUGUGCUUUAAACCCAGUUCUCCUUCAUAGCUGUGAGCCCUUGCGUAAGUCCCUUAACCUCUUUACAUCUUCGUUUCCUCAUCUGUAAAUCACAGGAAUAAGAAAAAUACUUACCUUGAGGCUGGGUGUGGUGGCUCAUGCCUGUAAUCCCAGCACUUUGGGAGGCCCAGGCAGGCAGAUCACGAGGUCAGGAGAUCGAGACCAUCCUGGCCAACAUGGUGAAACCUCGUCUCUCGUAAAAAUAUUUUUAAAAAAUUAACUGGGCAUGGAGGUGCAUGCCUACAGUCCCAGCUACUCGGGAGGCUGAGGCCGGAGAAUUGCUUGAACCGGGAGGCAGAGGUUGCAGUGAGCUGAGAUCACACCAUUGCACUCCAGCCUGGGUGACAGAGAGAAAAGAAAAAUAAUUAUCUGAACUGAACCUUAGAAAGACUGAAGGUAAAAUAAAUAAAUAAAUAAAAAUAAAUGAUUAUAAUAAUGACCUUGUAAGUUAUUCUGAGAAUUAAAGAUUUGCACAACAUACGUAUCACCCGACGUUUCAUAAAUUCAUGUGAAAAAAAAAUUU